rnacentral:rRNA from 1 species
CAGCCGCCGCGGUAAUACAGAGGGUGCGAGCGUUAAUCGGAUUUACUGGGCGUAAAGCGUGCGUAGGCGGCUUCUUAAGUCGGAUGUGAAAUCCCUGAGCUUAACUUAGGAAUUGCAUUCGAUACUGGGAAGCUAGAGUAUGGGAGAGGAUGGUAGAAUUCCAGGUGUAGCGGUGAAAUGCGUAGAGAUCUGGAGGAAUACCGAUGGCGAAGGCAGCCAUCUGGCCUAAUACUGACGCUGAGGUACGAAAGCAUGUGGAGCAAACAGGAUUAGAUACCCCUGUAGUCCCUGUCUCUUAUAC